rnacentral:rRNA from 1 species
UACGGGGGGGGCAAGCGUUGUUCGGAAUUACUGGGCAUAAAGCGCACGUAGGCGGUUCGUUAAGUCAGGUGUGAAAUCCCCCGGCUCAACCGGGGAAUUGCGCCUGAUACUGGCGGGCUAGAGAUCGAUAGGGGUGAGUGGAACUCCAGGUGGAGCGGUGAAAUGCGUAGAUAUCUGGAGGAACACCGGUGGCGAAAGCGGCUCACUGGAUCGAUACUGACGCUGAGGUGCGAAAGCUAGGGUAGCAAACGGG